rnacentral:rRNA from 1 species
UAGAGAUAUGGAGCAAACCCCAAAAAUAAACGUCUCAUUCGGAUUNUAGUCUGCAACUCGACUACAUGAAGCUGGAAUCGCUAGUAAUCGCGGAUCAGAAUGCCGCGGUGAAUACGUUCCCGGGUCUUGUACACACCGCCCGUCACACCAUGGGAGCCGGAAAUGCCCGAAGUCUGUGACUCAACCGAGAGGGGAGAGCAGCCGAAGGUGGAGCUGGUAACUGGGGGUGAAGUCGUAACAAGGUACC